rnacentral:rRNA from 1 species
UACGAAGGGUGCAAGCGUUACUCGGAAUUACUGGGCGUAAAGCGUGCGUAGGUGGUUUGUUAAGUCUGAUGUGAAAGCCCUGGGCUCAACCUGGGAAUUGCAUUGGAUACUGGCAAGCUAGAGUGCGGUAGAGGAUGGCGGAAUUCCCGGUGUAGCAGUGAAAUGCGUAGAGAUCGGGAGGAACAUCUGUGGCGAAGGCGGCCAUCUGGACCAGCACUGACACUGAGGCACGAAAGCCAGGGGAGCAAACGGG